GGCGCCGCGGUGGCUGCCGGGACUGAGCUCCAAGCACCCGAUCGGGAAGUGGCGGGCGGAGUCCCGGGUCGAGUCGCCACCUCAGCUACCGCCGCCGCCGCCGCCGCCGCCAGUGGCGAGACCCCGACCUGGCGGGUCAGCGCUGGGCGUGCGUGCGGGCAGGCGGGGGCGCUGACGAGAAGCAGGAAGAGGGUGCAGUGCCGGCGUGGGCGGCCGGCCGAGGCGGAGGCGCAGGAAGCGGGCGGCGAGUCGUACGAGGCUGCCCUUCUCACUCAGCAUUAUGGAUCCAAGCCUGUUGAGAGAAAGGGAGCUGUUCAAAAAACGAGCUCUUUCUACUCCUGUAGUAGAAAAACGUUCAGCAUCUUCUGAGUCAUCAUCAUCAUCGUCAAAGAAGAAGAAAACAAAGGUAGAACAUGGAGGAUCGUCAGGCUCUAAACAAAAUUCUGAUCAUAGCAAUGGAUCAUUUAACUUGAAAGCUUUGUCAGGAAGCUCUGGAUAUAAGUUUGGUGUUCUUGCUAAGAUUGUGAAUUACAUGAAGACACGGCAUCAGCGAGGAGAUACGCAUCCUCUAACCUUAGAUGAAAUUUUGGAUGAAACACAACAUUUAGAUAUUGGACUGAAGCAGAAACAAUGGCUAAUGACUGAGGCUUUAGUCAACAAUCCCAAAAUUGAAGUAAUAGAUGGGAAGUAUGCUUUCAAGCCCAAGUACAACGUGAGAGAUAAGAAGGCCCUACUUAGGCUCUUAGAUCAGCAUGACCAGCGAGGAUUAGGAGGAAUUCUUUUAGAAGACAUAGAAGAAGCACUGCCCAAUUCCCAGAAAGCUGUCAAGGCUUUGGGGGACCAGAUACUAUUUGUAAAUCGUCCCGAUAAGAAGAAAAUACUUUUCUUCAAUGAUAAGAGCUGUCAGUUUUCUGUGGAUGAAGAGUCACCAUGAAGAUGAUAGCCACCAAUGGGCCAAUAUAGUUACGACGUAUUGGCAACUUAGAUGUCAUAACUGGUCUCUUCCUUAAGUGGUAAAGAAUUCUUGGUAAAGUUCUGAAAAUACAAAGUAUAUUUCUUCUGUGAUUUAUCAAGGUUAAUAAUGCUAUAUUCUGUGUACAGUAUACAUUGUAUAUUCCUAGAAAAGUUUAUUAAAAGUGCCAAAAAUACUUUGUUUAUAUAUGUUAAAUAGAAUUGGGUUUGUAGGCUCAGCUUAUUGUUAUAAACUGGUAUUUUUCACUGAUCUGUAUCCCUCUUAAGAAGGAUGGUGGGGGUUAAGCAGGGCUUUCGACCUUGGCAGUGUUAACAUUUGGGGUUGGUUGAGUAGUUUUUUUUUUUGGUGUGGGGAGUGUCCUGAGCCUUGUAGGGCAUUGAUCAGCAUCCUUGGCUUGUUUAGAUACCAGUAGCUUAGCUUCCCUGCAGUGUGACAACCAAAACUUUCUUUAGACAUUAUCAAAUGUCACCUGGAGAACAAAUUCCCCUUGUUGGGAACUUGGUUAAAGGUCCAGUUUAUGUUGAUAGAAUAGAGGAAGAUUGAGACCCACUGUCUUCAGAUUCCUUUUCCUGGCUCCUGUCAUUCUGCACACUUGGUGGUGGAAGAAGAUCACAGUGAAUGAGGUUGCUGUCCUUGACCUUCCAGGCUGAGCGGGUAGAAUGGCAUAGGAAGCGUAGUUCAGCUGUUUGCAUUUUGUCGUUUUGGUGUUCACACGGUGCUGUAGAGACACCAGAGGGAACAGCCACUUACAGGAACCUCGGUAAUAUACAGAUCAGCUUUCCAGACCAUUGCUGCCACUAUUUAAGUAGGUAAUAUUACCUCUGCGAUUGUGUCAUAAGAGGUCCGCAGUAUGUAAGCUUCUUUGCAUAUCAGGUAGAAAGGCAAAGAAAUUUCUGUCUUCAAGGAACUGAAAUUUUGCAGUGGUAGAAAGUGUAUUGAAUGAAAUUAACCAGUGAGUAAAAGGUAUGUUUUUCCUAUGUACUUUUUUCCCAUUUUGCCUUUAUUGUUAUACAGAGAGAAGUACACAGUUGACUUGUUGGACAGAUAUGUAAUACUUAUUCUAAAGAAAUGGAUACAGUUUUCACAUGUUGAUAAAUUAGAACUUAACAAAUUGAUGAUCAAAAUACCAGAACUAUUCUUUGGUAGGAUAUAGUUUCUUUAACAGCUAUAAUAAUAAGUUUGACAUGUAAAAUUCUGGCUAUUGCCUACAUUUUAAAACAGUAAUUUUGCAUGCUUUAUUGGGAUUACAGAGAUAUUUUUGUUGCUGAGUUGGAAGUUUGACCUGAAAUUAUUUUCUUUCAUAUAUGCCUAUAGUGAGCAAAGCUAGCCACAUUCAUUAAACAGCCUUUAAAGUUUGGCUGAAAAGCAGAUAGUUGGGGACUUUUAGCUUCUACUUAGAAUGGAGAAAGCUAGAGAGAGCAUCGUUCCUACCUUGACAGCAACAACAAACCCCAGAAGUCUGCAUGCUGAUAUCUUCUUGAAUUCAUCAGUGAGCUGAGGUUGCAGGACAACCUCCUAACCCAAACUGUAAGGAGAGACAGGCACCCCCUUGGAAAGGUAAGACCUGAGCACUUGUUUACCUGAGACAGACAAAGUGAACAUCCCGCAGGAGAAUUCAGUUAAAAUUUAAUGAACUUAGUGUGGACCAGCAAGAAAACAGAGAUCGCCUGGGGGGCUGCAGACACGGGGAGUUUGUAUCCACUCACAGGCUCUUCUCCACAGAUUUCACUGGAUGCUUACAAAAAAGAUUGAGGCAAGGGUGUGGGUACUGAGAAAGUGUCCCUUACUGUUCCCCCUGGAGGAGAGGGACAGUAGAUCCUUUUGGAAAGACACGAAGCCGUGUCUGAGUCCUUCUUCCCUUCUUUGCUCCUAUGAGAUAAGAGCCUUAAACCACUGUGGAAAGAGAACAGAAAAAAAGUCUUUCGUCCUUGGCGAGGGACAGGAAUAUGUGCUAGGCCCAGAACUUUAGUGGAGGAGAAAGGGCAGGAGCACUGAGAAGGCCACACCCCGGUCACCAAGGAAGACAGUGUUUGCCCAAGACCAAGGCUUAAUCCUAAUGUCAGAGAAUCUUCCCACCCAUACGAGGCUAACAGCUGUGGACUGACAGGUGACACUGGAGAUCGGUGCGAGGCGCAAGAACGUGGAGGCAGACCAGCUCAGAUGCAGCGUAAAAGGAAGACCAAAAAAGCUGAAGGUCGAACAGACACUGAGGAAAACAUCCUCUGGCAAACCAGCCACUCCCCUAACACAGUUCGAAUCUGGUGGUACAUUGUGGGUAACCAUGGCAGCAACAAAUUCCAAACCACGCUUCUGUUCUGACAAUAGAUUGACUCAACCUCCACACACUAAAGAUCUGGCAGAAGGAAAGGCGGGCCCAUUUCCCAGGCAUAAAAACUAUUUACCUCAGUCUUAGCUGUCUUACAAAGGAUAUCCUGCUUUCAAAAAAGUUUUUGAGGCAUAAAAAGAAGGAAGGAAGAACAACACACUAUUGAGACAGGACACUUUUAAGACCAAAUUCUUUGGAACUACCAGACAUGGAAUUGAGACAGGACAUUUUUAAGACCAAAUUCUUUGGAACUACCAGACAUGGAAUCUAAAAUAACUGUUCAGUAUGUUAAAAUCUCUAGUAGAAAAGGCAGGCAACUUGUAUGGUCAGGUAGGAUAUUUCAGCAGAGAGAUAGACACUGUAAGAAAAUAAAAUAAAGGCUAAAAAUGAAAAUGACAGUAACAUAGGUGAAAAAUGUCUUCAACAAGCUCAUUAUUAAACUUGGUGUAGCCAAAGAAGGAGUCUGUGAACUUGAAUACAGCUGAAGUGUGAAAAAAAUAGGGCAGAGAACCCAUGAGCUGUGAGACAAUAUCAAGUGGUCUGAAUUUGUAAAGUCUGAGAAGGAAAAGAAAGAAAACGGGGCAGAAGAAAUACUUGAAGAUGUAAUGACCAAGAAUUUUCUAAAAUUAAUGAUGGACACCAAAGAUCUGUGAAGCUCAGAGAACACCAAUAGAUCAUCCCCCAAACCAGGCAAAUGACAGAAAAACACCGAGGCAUAUCAUAUUCAAACUGCAGAAUAUGAAAGAUGGAAAAUAUUGAAGGCAGUCGGAGGAAAGAGACUAAUUCCAGAGGAAAAAAAGAAUGCAGGGUUCUUAUUAGAACCCAUGCAGACCGAAAGAUAAUGCAGCAAGCACAUCUUUAAAUGGCCAAAAGGGAGAAAAUCCUUUCAACCCAGAAUUCCGUACACAGCAAAAACAAUCUUUUCUUUUCUUUUCUCUUCUUUUCUUUUUUCUUUUCCUUCCCCUUCCCCUUCCCCUUUUCCUUUCCUUUCUUUUCUUUUUUCUUGUCUGACUCUGUGGCCCAGGCUAGAGUGCAGUGGUGCAAUCUUGGCUCACUACAACCUCUGCCUCCAGGGCUCAAUUCAUCCUCCCAUCUCAGCCUCCUGAGUAGCUAGGACUGCAGGUACAUGCCACUACAUCUAGCUAAUUUUUUUGUAUUUCUAGUAGAGAUGGAGUUUCACCAUGUUGCCAAGGCUGGUUUUGAACUCUUGGGCUCAAGCAGUCUGCCCUCCUCAGCCUCCCAAAGUGUUAGGAUUACGGGUGUGAGCAACUGCAUCCGGCAAAAAUAAUCUUACAGAAAUGAAGGACAAAUGCUCUCUCAGAGAAACAGAAAUGGAGAGAAUUCAUUGCCAUCAGACCUGCACUACUGGAAAUAUUAAAGGAAGUUGUUCAGGAAGAAGAGAAUUUCAGAAACUGUGGAGGAGUGUCACUGUAGAUUCCAUGGACGAGGAGAAAAUUGAAGAAUAUCUGAAGCGACAGGGUAUUUCUUCCAUGCAGGAAUCUGGACCAAAGAAAGUGGCUCCUAUUCAGAGAAGGAAAAAGCCUGCUUCACAGAAAAAGCGACGCUUUAAGACUCAUAACGAACACUUGGCUGGAGUGCUGAAGGAUUACUCUGACAUUACUUCCAGCAAAUAGGGAACAGUUUUGCCCUGGAACAGAGUUACAGAUACACAAUCAAGAGUGUUCUUGCUGAUGCUCGGGGUCUGAAGACUGUCUUCCUAUCUGCUUCUUGCGGCUGAGGAGAGGAGCAGUUCAGUUUACAAAACAAGUGCAAAUUACCAAACUCAAAGCUUAUUUGAGUAGAAUGGGCUCAUGGGCAAUGUGAUGUUCCCUGUUAACCUUCUGUUACUCCCUGGGAGAAAGGCACUGAGCGUGGCAUGCAGGUGUCUUUGCUGUGUUUUUCUCCACUUCUAAAUGGUUCCUGGUUCCUUUCUUCCUCGUUUGUUACUUUAGAGCAAGUUUGCCCAUAGUCUUGAAUGCAAUAUUUGUUUAUUCCAAAAGAACAUAUUUAUAAUAAAAUCACUGUAGAAGGAUUUUUAA